rnacentral:rRNA from 1 species
UACGUAGGCGGAUCAGAAAGUUAGGGGUGAAAUCCCGAGGCUCAACCUCGGAACUGCCUCUAAAACUCCUGGUCUUGAGUUCGAGAGAGGUGAGUGGAAUUCCAAGUGUAGAGGUGAAAUUCGUAGAUAUUUGGAGGAACACCAGUGGCGAAGGCGGCUCACUGGCUCGAUACUGACGCUGAGGUACGAAAGUGUGGGGAGCAAACAGGAUUAGAUACCCUGGUAGUCC